rnacentral:rRNA from 1 species
UACGUAGGUGGCAAGCGUUGUCCGGAAUUAUUGGGCGUAAAGCGCGCGCAGGCGGUCCUUUAAGUCUGAUGUGAAAGCCCACGGCUCAACCGUGGAGGGUCAUUGGAAACUGGGGGACUUGAGUGCAGGAGAGAAGAGUGGAAUUCCACGUGUAGCGGUGAAAUGCGUAGAGAUGUGGAGGAACACCAGUGGCGAAGGCGGCACUCUGGGCCAGUACUGACGCUGAGGAGCGAAAGCGUGGGGAGCGAACAGG